AAAAAGGUUAAGGAAAAUGAGUUUGGUAGUUCUAUGGAAGCAUCAAAUUGUGUCAAAAAGGAAUGAUUGUUGUUGGAACUAAAAACAACAAUGAAAUGAAAAGAGCCUUCAAGAGGGAGCAUGAAGUGGAAUUGCUGCCAACUUCUUUAUAUAUGUAAAUAUGAACUAAAAGUACAAUU